GACGAACGCUGGCGGCGUGCCUAAUACAUGCAAGUCGAACGCAGUGGGGACGGGUGAGUAACACGUGGGUAACCUCCCAUCAGAGGGGAUAACACUUGGAAACAGGUGCUAAACCGAUACUGAUGGAUGAACCCGCGGUGCAUUAGCUAGUUGGUGAGGUAACGGCUCACCAAGGCCACGAUGCAUAGCCGACCUGGGGGGGUGGUCGGCCACGCGGGGCCUGCAACACGGCCCGGACUCCUACGGGAGGAGGCAGGAGGGAAGCUUCGGCAAUGGACGAAAGUCUGGCCGAGAGACGCCGCGUGAGUGAAGAAGGUUUUCGGAUCGUAAGACUCUGUUGUUAGAGAAGCGGUAUCUAACAAGAAAGCCACGGCUAACUACGUGCCAGCAGCCGCGGUAAUAC
rnacentral:rRNA from 1 species